ensembl:lncRNA
CAGACACAUGUCAUUAAGGAGCAGGUAGGGGUUAGGGGCAGCUCGCUCAAGGACUCCAUGACAGUCAGGCUGUGGAGUGUGGACAUUGGGGUUGGAACCCUGAUGUAAAUUAUUUUAGUCUAUGUUAUUUCUGAUGACAUAUGUCAAGCUAACAACAGUUAUGAAUGGUUUCUUCACCACAUAAUGGACAACACCAUAUAAGGUUUUAAUGAUUUUAUAGAUAAGUUAAAGACUACAAACAUGGCCACUUUGCCAUUUCCGUUUAAGCCCAGACAGACCAAAGGUUUACCUGGGUCAGUCAGAACAUGUAGGCGUGGCCUAUUUACCGCUCCGCCCACUCCCAAUAUAACUGUUUAUUUACCUGUGUUCGGGAGAUGCUUCAUGAACCACCUCCAGAACACAAGCCUGUGUACCUUGUGUCUCUGUUAGAAUAAACCACGUGUUGAACAUUUACCACUCUCCGAGUCAUACCUAGCACGAGACGACCAUACCACAAAGGAUCAAAAUAGUUUUUCAUCAAUAACCCACAACCAAUUUAUCUGGGAGUCAAACACCUUAACAAGU